rnacentral:lncRNA from 1 species
UUUACUCUCGCGCUUGACCUUAAUCACGAGAAUAUAAAAUAAGACAUUGCCUCGAGGAAAAUUCUUAAUUAAUGAGAAAGCGUAAUUUAACUAUGCAUGAAUCUGUAUGCAUGAACUAAAUUCGACGAUAUCGGGGAUCUACUAUUAUCCUCGUUAAUAGAUUUACUAACUUCUCGUCACGCGUCGAAUAACUGUGAUUCUUCCUUCCAUCGGAAUAUUCUAUGUAAAUAACUCGCAUUUGUACUGAUCAAAUAAAGACUAACUGGCUUUAACGAGGUGUGAUCUACGUAAAAAUUAUCGGGCUUUUCAAAAAUUUUAAUAAAUAAUUGAAAAACAUUUCUCUUGAGUUAAGAACACCAACAAUAUUCUUACUCGUCUUUCUUUAAUAAUUGGAUUUAUAAUUAAAACCAAUUAAAUACUUUUAUUGCAAGUAAAAAUGCAAUUUCAUGUCAUGCUUAGCAUAUAAUAAGUAAUUUACUUAAUAUAUGCACAUAAUAAUAAUACAAUAUUAUUAUUAUGUAAAUCAUCUUUUGAGAAAAAUAAUUAAUUAAACUAAAUAAAUAGUCUAAUUAAUAAGUAUCCAUUUUUCUUUGAACUCAGUCCAAUUAAAUAAUAAGGUAACCCAUUUCUUUUUAAAAAACAUAACCCAAUGUUUCAAUUUAAAUCAGGGCCCAAAGACUUUAAUAAAAUCGGCCCAAAGACUUUAAUAAAAUCGGCCCAUAGCCAAAGCCCAAUACCAUUUAAACACAAGCCCAAUCUUUUAAAAGAUAAAAGCCCAAUUAAAAUAAAUGAAGAGGCCCAAAUUCCAUUUAAAAAUCGGCCCAUCACUUAUUAAAAAUCGGCCCAAGACUCGGCCCAAAAUAAAGAAAUAACCGGCCCAAUGUAAUGGCCCAACAUAAAAAGAAAGCCCAAAUCUUUUAAAUUUUCGGCCCAAACAAUAUAGAUAAAAUUAAGCCCAAACUUAAUAAAGUCAGCCCAUCCUCUCUUUUUUUUCUCAAGCUCUCGGCUUCUCUCUCUCUCAACUCUCAAACGUUUUUUUUUUUUACAGAAUUCAAGGCCGAGAGUCCUCUUCUUCAUCUAACAAAAUUUCGCCGCCGCGUCUGCUGCUUCUGCAAAUCCGGCGAGGUCGCCGCACAAUCGGUCGGCGCAACCCUGUCUGCUUCUCUCUUACGCCUUCACCUCUCGAGUGAAUCCCUCAGAAAUCACACCAACAAGAGCCCUAAUUUCUCCCAUCAUAAAUCGUUGCCGCCGUUGAAAAACUGGGAUCCGGCGACGUCGCUGCUGUCACGCCCUUGUCUGGAGCCAUCGCCGCCGUUUGGAGCGGCUGCUGCUUCGCCUGGAGUCGCCGCCGACUGCUGCUGCUCGUCAGGCCGCCGAGGGCUUCGUCUCCGCUGCUCUGGCCGUCCCAACCGCCGGCGAGCAAUUGUUGAUCGCGCCGCCUCCUUUCCCUUCAUCGCAGAGCCCUAAUCGUCAAACCCAGGUCGCUGCUGCGGCCGCAUCCUCGUCCGAAAUCCGACGGGCUGCUGUCGUCUGGGAGCGGCGCUGCUCCGGCCUCCUCCUCUCCGUCGCGACUCUCGGCUGAACUCGUCUUAAGCCGAGCCCCAAAUGGCUCGGUUCUAAGCAUAAGAGGAAAGUAUCAGUCUCUAUCUUGCUGUAAUUAUCUCCGCUUGGGCAAGAUAGGAUUUUUGGUGGUUUUUCUCAUUGAUUCUCAGUUAGUGAAUUUAUCUAGCAGUAAAAUAUAGUUAUGCUAAGGUUAGCCAUUUAUGCAUAUAGUUUUUUUUUUAUUGGCAUGAACUGGCAUUCUAUGUUUCUCAUAAAAAUGAGUUCAUAUAAUCUGUUGGUUUGCUAGUGAGUUCUAUGUCGAUAAUAUGGUCAUGCUUCUCCUCUCAUACUCAAAAUCCAAUCGAGCUCUCUCUCCAAUCCAUUCACUUAUCUAGUUUCUGUGAGUUCUUGUGAUUGUUACUCUGGAGUGUAGUGGAAGUGAAGCAUAUAAAUCCUUCUGUUGUAAAGUAUCUCCCUAUUGUACAACAUAUCUUGACUAUUUCGUGUAGAUGAACUGUGAUUAUGCUAAAUAUGGAUGCGAACUGAAUCGAAUACUCUAUUGUUUAACUGAUCAUGCUUGCUGGAUGAUGCGAAAUGGAUCGAAUAAGUUGAGCUUAGUAUAUACCUUGUAAUUGUUUGGUAUUUGGCUGUUGUGUUGAUCUCAGCAUGAGAAGAACUGAAAUAAAGAUGGUUCUUUUAACAAUGCAGGAGGAAACAAGAACAAUAUGAUGAAAACUUAAGCCAAACUUACCUCUUCGAAGUUUCAUAGAAGUUUUACAAACUCUAUCUCUUCCCUUCAAAUUUUCUGGUUUCUGGUGUCCAAGGAAAUGAGUGAAGGAAGUUUGUUGGCUGAAAUGUUAAAGGACAUCGGAGGGAGUAGGUGGGUGUGGGAGUGUAGUGGUGGAGUGGAGUUGGUGGAGUGGAGUUGGUGGAGAGCAAAGACGUUAGCAAAAGAUAGAAAUAAUAACUUUAUCUAAACUUUAAUUGAUUGAAGAGCUUUUGCUUUUGCUAAUUGAUUUGGUUGUCUUCUUGAUUGAUUCUGUAUAUUUAAUCGCGUGUUUGCAAUCAAAUACUGGCUUCUGCUCAUUAUUCGUGUAUAAUUUAAAUACGUAGAUUUAAUUCACUUCACAAGCCAUUUAAUAUCUAGAUUAAAUCCGUAGAUUUAAUCUGCGUUGCAGUCGGAAUAAUUUCUCGACUUCAAGUAGCACUAA